AGAGAAAUAGCUGGGUCAAAUGGUACUUCCAUUCCCAGAUUUCCAAGGAAUCUCCAUACUGCUUUCCAUAUUGGCUGUACCAAUUUGCAGUUCCACCAGCAAU
rnacentral:pre_miRNA from 1 species